GACGAACGCUGGCGGCGUGCCUAAUACAUGCAAGUUGAGCGCUGAAGGUUGGUACUUGUACCAACUGGAUGAGCAGCGAACGGGUGAGUAACGCGUGGGGAAUCUGCCUUUGAGCGGGGGACAACAUUUGGAAACGAAUGCUAAUACCGCAUAAAAACUUUAAACACAAGUUUUAAGUUUGAAAGAUGCAAUUGCAUCACUCAAAGAUGAUCCCGCGUUGUAUUAGCUAGUUGGUGAGGUAAAGGCUCACCAAGGCGAUGAUACAUAGCCGACCUGAGAGGGUGAUCGGCCACAGUGGGACUGAGACACGGCCCAAACUCCUACGGGAGGCAGCAGUAGGGAAUCUUCGGCAAUGGACGAAAGUCUGACCGAGCAACGCCGCGUGAGUGAAGAAGGGUUUCGGAUCGUAAAACUCUGUUGGUAGAGAAGAACGUUGGUGAGAGUGGAAAGCUCAUCAAGUGACGGUAACUACACAGAAAGGGACGGCUAACUACGUG
rnacentral:rRNA from 1 species